rnacentral:rRNA from 1 species
UGCCUUGAUGUGGGGGAUAACCAUUGGAAACGAUGGCUAAUACCGCAUAAUGCCUUCGGGCCAAAGAGGGGGAUCUUCGGACCUCUCGCGUCAAGAUUAGCCCAGGUGGGAUUAGCUAGUUGGUGAGGUAAUGGCUCACCAAGGCGACGAUCCCUAGCUGGUCUGAGAGGAUGAUCAGCCACACUGGAACUGAGACACGGUCCAGACUCCUACGGGAGGCAGCAGUGGGGAAUAUUGCACAAUGGGCGCAAGCCUGAUGCAGCCAUGCCGCGUGUGUGAAGAAGGCCUUCGGGUUGUAAAGCACUUUCAGUCGUGAGGAAGGUGGUGUAGUUAAUAGCUGCAUCAUUUGACGUUAGCGACAGAAGAAGCACCGGCUAACUCCGUGCCAGCAGCCGCGGUAAUACGGAGGGUGCGAGCGUUAAUCGGAAUUACUGGGCGUAAAGCGCAUGCAGGGUGGUUCGUUAAGUCAGAUGUGAAGCCCGGGGCUCANCCUCGGAACU